GACGUAGGAGGCGAGCGUUGUCCGGAUUCAUUGGGCGUAAAGAGCGCGCAGGCGGCUUGGUAAGUCGGAUGUGAAAUCCCGAGGCUCAACCUCGGGUCUGCAUCCGAUACUGCCCGGCUAGAGGUAGGUAGGGGAGAUCGGAAUUCCUGGUGUAGCGGUGGAAUGCGCAGAUAUCAGGAGGAACACCGGUGGCGAAGGCGGAUCUCUGGGCCUUACCUGACGCUCAGGCGCGAAAGCUAGGGGAGCGAACUGG
rnacentral:rRNA from 1 species